UUACGGCUAUAUUGCGUUGAAACACCGGUUCUCGUACGAUCGCCGAAGUUAAGCAACGUCGAGCCUGGUCAGUACAUAGCUGAAUGAUCGCUUGGGAAUACUAGGUGCUGCAA